CUCAACGGCGACCCCAACCCUCUCCUCACCCGAACCCUUGUGAUCCCGACCUUUCUUCCUCCCCCGACGCCGAGUUCUUCCUUCUUCUUUCCUCUGGCUCCGAUCUCUCUCGGUUUCUCUUGCCUUCAUCGCCGAUCCUGAGGAGCUCGUCGCCAGAUCUCGACGGUGCUGAGGAAGACAAGCUGGAUCUGGCCGAGGGAUCUCUAUUUCGGUGGCUUCUUGCGCUGAUCAUCGGCGACUCCUUGGUGGCUAGGGCACGGUGAGGAGCAAGACUCGCAUUGUUUCCCAGCCAAUCAUCCACCGAAGCUUGGAGAUGUGCUCUGGUCCAGAUUUUGUGCCACUCGAUCGCCGGCGUGGGUUUUGGUUGAAGAUGAUGGGCUCUUGAGCUAUCGGGCAGAGGCUAGAAAGUUUUGCUUGAUCACUGCUUUCUCCUUCUUGAGCCGAUUGAUCAGUGAAGGUCAGUUCUGUGAUGUUCUUGAUCCAGUAGCUACUCACCUCACAUCUGGCAGUAAACCAUCCAGCAGCAACAGCAACUGGGAUUGAGUUCCAGCAAAUCACUUUGUAUUCCAGCAACACAGCAACUGGAAUUGGGAGGGAGGUUCGUUCUGUGCUGUGGGGUUAUCCUUGUUCCGGCAGCACUCCUUCCAGCAGCUUCUUUUUGGCUGCGGAACAAGAGCAGUGGCUGAAUUGAGGAUUUUGAUUCGAGACAGGCGUCUCGACAUUGACUUCGGAUUUGGAUUGUACCUUCUACUU